rnacentral:lncRNA from 1 species
CUGGGAAGUGAGGAGCGUCUCUGCCUGGCCGCCCAUCGUCUGAGAUGUGGGGAGCACCUCUGCCCUGCCGCCCCGUCCAGGAUGUGAGGAGCGUCUCUGCCCGGCCGUCCUGUCUGAGAAGUGAGGAGCCCCUCCGCCCGGCAGCCGCCCCGUCUGAGAAGUGAGGAGCCCCUCCGCCCGGCAGCCACCCCGUCUGGGAAGUGAGGAGCGCCUCUGCCCGGCCGCCCCUACUGGGAAGUGA